GUCCUGGCCCUAAACGAUGGGUACCAGACUGUGGGCUGACAUGGGCUCCCAGUCGAGGCCAAAGUGUUAAGUACCCCGCCUGGGGAGUAUGGUCGCAAGGCUGAAACUCAAAGGAAUUGACGGGGGCUCACACAAGCGGUGGAGCAUGUGGCUUAAUUCGAGGCUACGCGAAGAACCUUAUCCUGGGCUUGACAUGUGCGAAAGCGGUCGGAAGUAAGGUGCGGAAACGUUCCCCAACGGUAUCCAGUCCGGAACCGACUACAGGUGCUGCAUGGCUGUCGU
rnacentral:rRNA from 1 species